GGCAGUGUGGUCCAGUGGGUGGAGCACUAGACUGGAACUCAGGAGAUCUGGCUUCUAUUCCCAGCUCUGCCA
rnacentral:tRNA from 1 species